GACGAACGCUGGCGGCGUGCCUAACACAUGCAAGUCGAACGGGGUAGAGGCCUUCGGGCUUCUGCUUAGUGGCGAACGGGUGAGUAACGCGUGAGAAACCUGCCUUUCAGUGGGGGACAACAGUUGGAAACGACUGCUAAUACCGCAUAAUGUAUUCGGGGGGCAUCCCCUGAAUACCAAAGCUUUAUGUGCUGAAAGAUGGUCUCGCGUCUGAUUAGCUAGAUGGCGGGGUAACGGCCCACCAUGGCGACGAUCAGUAGCCGGUCUGAGAGGAUGAACGGCCACAUUGGGACUGAGAGACGGCCCAGACUCCUACGGGAGGCAGCAGUGGGGAAUAUUGGGCAAUGGGGGAAACCCUGACCCAGCAACGCCGCGUGAAGGAAGAAGGCCUUCGGGUUGUAAACUUCUUUUAGCAGGGACGAAGAACGUGACGGUACCUGCAGAAAAAGCAACGGCUAACUACGUGCCAGCCGCCGCGGUAAAAC
rnacentral:rRNA from 1 species